ACAAAGACGUUGACGGAGACAAGUAGCUUUGUAGAACAAAACAGGGAAAAAUGGUCAUAGACUGAAAGCCAUUUUAUAAGUUAACAAUGCGAAAAUUUCAGCUCCACGAGUCGCUGCCGGGAUUGUAUUUGAAAGGCAGAUCGGUUUUUAGCCGUUAUUCAAAUGAAGGUGGAAAUGUUUUAUCAUUUCUAUUAGGGUGGUACCGCGAGCAAAAUCUCGUCCCUUUG
rnacentral:ncRNA from 1 species